UACGUAGGUGACAAGCGUUGUCCGGAUUUACUGGGCGUAAAGAGCGCGCAGGCGGUCGAUCAAGUCGAGUGUGAAAGCCCCCGGCUCAACUGGGGAGGGUCAUUCGAUACUGAUCGACUCGAAGGCAGGAGAGGGUAGUGGAAUUCCCGGUGUAGUGGUGAAAUGCGUAGAUAUGUGGAGGAACACCGAUGGCGAAGGCAGCCCCCUGGGUCAACACUGACGCUCGAUGCACGAAAGCGUGGGGAGCAAACAGG
rnacentral:rRNA from 1 species